rnacentral:rRNA from 1 species
ACGAACGCUGGCGGCAUGCCUAACACAUGCCAGUCGAACGAGACCUUCGGGUCUAGUGGCGCACGGGUGCGUAACGCGUGGGAACCUGCCCUUAGGUUCGGAAUAACUCCCCGAAAGGGGUGCUAAUACCGGAUAAUGUCUUCGGACCAAAGAUUUAUCGCCUUUGGAUGGGCCCGCGUUGGAUUAGCUAGUUGGUAGGGUAAAAGCCUACCAAGGCGACGAUCCAUAGCUGGUCUGAGAGGAUGAGCAGCCACACUGGGACUGAGACACGGCCCAGACUCCUACGGGAGGCAGCAGUGGGGAAUAUUGGACAAUGGGCGAAAGCCUGAUCCAGCAAUGCCGCGUGAGUGAUGAAGGCCUUAGGGUUGUAAAGCUCUUUCACCCGGGAUGAUAAUGACAGUACCGGGAGAAUAAGCUCCGGCUAACUCCGUG